UGGCUUUGAGGGGGAUGUAGGCCUACAGGUUGCUAUGGAAGACCAAUGACCAGUGGUCCCACUACACACAUGAAUGGUAUUUUGAAAGUAUGUGAAACAUAAUGGUGGCAUGGUGGAUGCGCAGAUUCUAAUGGAGGAAGGUGCUAAGGAGACCUGUGCACUUGUCUUACGGUCAGCUCACUCUGUACUGGUCAGUGUUGUAUGUAUACCACAAAUUUACUUUUAGUUUUGACACCUCUGGUACAUUCAGGUACAUAGCAUGGGAACUAAUGAUUCACACACUGUAGUAACUCCCAGUUUAUGAUGGCCAUCAAUUAUGGACAACCAAAUAUCACAGUCAGUGUCGUAUGAUGUAUCUUUAGGUUGAGCACAGUGGAAGUAAACAAUAUUUCUCAACCUAACCUCAUAACUGUAAAUCACUUUGGCUAAAAGCGUCAGCUAAACGUAAUGUAAUCUAAUCUCUCCCGCACUUUCAGUACCACUCCUGUAGAAUGGCCAUGCCAACCUCCCAGCACAGCUAUGGAAAGACCAUGGGCACAUAACAGUUUGUUGGACCAACCAUCCUCUCCUGCUACACCAAUGUAUCAGCGGACGCUACACAGAUGCUACACAGACAGGCCUUCAUGCACUCUCAACUGCUAAGGGCAAGGGCACCACUUGCGCUGUGGUCCUAUGAAAGCCAACAUAUCACCCCACCUCCUUACCGCUAUUAGCUCAUCAUGUUUUCCCUCAAUGUUUUUGACUUCAUCUGAUUUGGUAUUGCAUGUAUGUUGCAUGUAUGCUUAAGCGGUGGCCUAGUGGUUAGAGAGUUGGUCUUUCAAUCUAGGAGUUGCAGGUUCGAAUCCCCCCUGACCUCUCCCUACAUCUCCAUCCAUGGCUGAAGUGCCCUUGAGCAAGGCACCUAACCCCACAUUGCUCCAGGGACUGUAACCAAUA